AGAAAAGACACAAAGUGUUGGGAGAGGAACAGCAGAAUGCAUGAGGACAAGGACAUCUACAGAGGAGCAGCUGGAGAAUCACAAGGAGGGCUCAUCAGUCGCCACUGAGACCAGAUCUAAAGAUCCAAACGCACUGAAUGCGUCUGAUGCAUGCGUUUUGAAGUACACACAUUUUAAACUUCCGAACAUUCCCCAAAAGCGUUAUCGCGUCCUUCAAACUGCUUUGAAGCCUGCGCUCCGAUCUCAAUUUUAAAGCGUCAAAUGAAGAUGCAGCAAACCAAAGCUUUCUUUCUGCAGUGGACGGAGUGUUUUUGUGGUCUCAAGAACUCCAACAGGAUGAUACAGCGUAUUGUGUGACGCCGAUUUCACAUCAACUAGUUCAACUUUUUUCAUAUAUCAAUAAUUUGGGCUCCAAGACGCUGCAUCACACGAUACACUUUCCCAGCAUCACAAUCCACAUGAAUGCGUAGAACGUAGAUCAUACAUGCACUCGUGCAUAAACGUGCCUAAAUACACUUUAAUUGAAGUUUAAUUGAUACUGCUGGUUCUGUGGUGUUGGCAUUUUGAAUCUGAUGCAUGCAGCGUGCCAUAGAUGCAUCAAUUGAGGCGCAUCAUUCAGUGCGUUUGGGCCUUAAGACCAGCAGAGGAAUUCAAGAAUGAGUGUUCCAGACCAAACAACGACAGAGUUCUUCUUUUUGUUCAGCGUAUUCUUCUGUUUGAACUCAGAGGUCUUAAAAAAAAAAAAACCAUGUCGGGUUGACCGUCAGAGUAUGAUGACGCAUUUUCAAAAAUAAGAAAUUGUUAAUUCUGUUCAUCAUUGAUCUUUUUCACAUUCAUGACAACAGAUAUACUGACAGCUGUGAGGAGUUCCACAUCCAUGUCAUGUUCUUGGAUUGAGCCACUGACUUUCUCUCUGACCUCUCAGCCAAUAGUUCCCACCAACCGCCAUUAGGUUAAAACUGAUUAUGAACUACUCCUACUCCUUAUUCACAAUGCACGUGCUUGGGCCAGUGCAGUAGUUCAGUUUGUAACCGUCUCUAGCUAAAACAAAACUAUGAGAAGUUAACUAAGUAAUUCACCUUCUAAAUAAGGAAUGGCAUUUGUUCUUAGUGCUGCAACUGCUCCCAACCAGAAGAUAAACAAGUGUCAAAUGAACUCUGAAUUAUUGUAAUAAGAGACAGAACUUACCACAGCUGCUGGAUUCAUCCAAAAUGAAUCUA